CAGGCUUGAAAGCUGGUUUGCUUCCAUCUCUGCAGUAAUUCACUUUCCUGUGCUCCAGCUUCAUAGGCACCCAGACAAAUGGCUUGCUCCUUUACAGCACAUUGUGAAUGAAAUAUCUAACAGAAAGGGAUGACCUGGGCAGAACUCUUUCUCUUCCAGGCAAACAUCAGCCUUUGUACAAACAUGUCACAAGGACUGAUAGCAGGCAUUUGGUAAAUUUGAAAAAGAUCACAAACAGUAAGACAGAAGUUAUUCUAUGACAGCAGUGUUAUGCACAGAAAUGUUCAAAUUGAAGCCGGCUCCAGCUGUAGAAAUAAUGGAGGAAGCUCUCCAGAGAACCCAUGUAGUGAGUGACUUCUUGGGUUCCUUCUGACAAUAAUCUGACCCACUAGGACACAGUUCAUGAAGAUAAAGGGAAGGGGACUGUGCAGUCUCAAAAUUGGCUCAAGAGACUCAUACAUCACUGAAGCUGAAUCUACUGUAAAGACUCUGCAGACAACAUCAGACUACAUUUUUUGUUUCUCAUUUCUUUUCAAAAUGUAAAUAAAACAUAUAUGUAACAUA